rnacentral:lncRNA from 1 species
UAAUCAGGGGUGGUGUUCUCAAAGCUAUCUUAGGAUUAGGACGUGUCCUAAGACCAUCUUAUGACAAGUCUUUGUCCUAAGUCGUGUUCUCGAAGCUCUCUUAACUUAGGAUAUAUCACAUUUUUCGUCCUAACUUUAGGACACCUAAUUAGGUGUCUUAAGAUCAUCAUAUCUUCAUCCUAACUUUUUGCAUGCUUUUUUCUCAAUUUUUUACGUGAAGAUGAACAUGAAAUGAAACGCACCAUCGGUUAUUAACUCGUAUACAGAAAUUGUGCAUGGUUUUAAACUUUGAACUUCGUGUUUUACGAUACGAUGACACUACGAAUUCAUUAUUCUCAUUUCAAAACAAAUUGUUUUCCAGUUUAAAUCACUAUC